rnacentral:rRNA from 1 species
CCUACGGGUGGCAGCAGUGGGGAAUAUUGCACAAUGGGGGAAACCCUGAUGCAGCGACGCCGCGUGAGUGAAGAAGUAAUUCGUUAUGUAAAGCUCUAUCAGCAGGGAAGAAAAUGACGGUACCUGAGUAAGAAGCCCCGGCUAACGACGUGUCAACAGCCGCGGUAAUACGGGGGAUGCAAGCGUUGUCCGGCUUUAUUGGGUUGAAAGGGUGCGUAGGCUGUGAGGUAAGUCAGAGGUUAAAUGCCCCCGCGCAACGGGGUGAAGUGCCAGUGAUACUGCCUUGCUGGAGUGCGGAUGCCGUGGGAGGAAUGUGUGGUGUAGCGGUGAAAUGCGUAGAUAUCAGACAGAACACCGAUUGCGAAGGCAUCUCACGAAUCCGCGAUUGACGCUGAUGCACGAAAGCGUGGGUAUCGAACAGGAUUAGAUACCCCUGUAGUC